rnacentral:rRNA from 1 species
GGAAUCUUCGGCAAUGGGGGCAACCCUGACCGAGCAACGCCGCGCGAGUGAAGAAGGUUUUCGGAUCGUAAAGCUCUGUUGUAAGAGAAGAACGUGUGUGAGAGUGGAAAGUUCACACAGUGACGGUAACUUACCAGAAAGGGACGGCUAACUACGUGCCAG